rnacentral:rRNA from 1 species
GAUGAACGCUAGCGGAAGGCUUAAUACAUGCAAGUCGAGCGGUAGGUGGCUUCGGCCAUUGAGAGCGGCGCACGGGUGAGUAACGCGUACAUGACCUGCCUGUCAGAAGGGGAUAGCCCUGGGAAACUGGGAUUAAUACCCUAUGGUAUUGAUAUUAUGAAUGAUAUCAAUUAAAGUUGAGGCGCUGACAGAUGGAUGUGCGUCUGAUUAGCUAGUUGGUAGGGUAACGGCCUACCAAGGCGACGAUCAGUAGGGGCGUGAGAGCGUGGUCCCCCACACGGGUACUGAGACACGGACCCGACUCCUACGGGAGGCAGCAGUAAGGAAUAUUGGUCAAUGCCCGCAAGGGUGAACCAGCCAUUCCGCGUGGAGGAUGAAGGCCCUAUGGGUUGUAAACUUCUUUUAGAUGGGAAGAAAAUGCUAGAUGUAUCUGGUACUGACGGUACCAUCAGAAUAAGCACCGGCUAACUCCGUGCCAGCAGCCGCGGUAA